GAUGAACGCUGGCGGCGUGCCUAAUACAUGCAAGUCGAGCGAAUGGAUUAAGAGCUUGCUCUUAUGAAGUUAGCGGCGGACGGGUGAGUAACACGUGGGUAACCUGCCCAUAAGACUGGGAUAACUCCGGGAAACCGGGGCUAAUACCGGAUAACAUUUUGAACCGCAUGGUUCGAAAUUGAAAGGCGGCUUCGGCUGUCACUUAUGGAUGGACCCGCGUCGCAUUAGCUAGUUGGGGAGGUAACGGCUCACCAAGGCAACGAUGCGUAGCCGACCUGAGAGGGUGAUCGGCAACACGGGGACUGAGACACGGCCCAGACUCCUACGGGGGGCAGCAGUAGGGAAUCUUCCGCAAUGGACGAAAGUCUGACGGGGCAACGCCGCGUGAGUGAUGAAGGCUUUCGGGUCGUAAAACUCUGUUGUUAGGGAAGAACAAGUGCUAGUUGAAUAAGCUGGCACCUUGACGGUACCUAACCAGAAAGCCACGGCUAACUACGUGCCAGCAGCCGCCGUAA
rnacentral:rRNA from 1 species